CCCUUAGAUGUUCUGGGCUGCACGCGUGCUACAAUGGCGUUUCCAGCAAGUCUGCGAACCCGAGAGGGCCAGCGGAUCUUCGAAUUUGCGUCGUGAUCGGGACAGUCGAUUGCAAUUAUUUGACUCAAACGAGGAAUUCCUUGUAAUCGCGAUUCAUCAUAUCGCGCUGAAUACGUCCCUGCCCUUUGUACACACCGCCCGUCGCUCCUACCGAUUGAGCGAUCCGGUAAAUGUUUUGGAUUGGUGCCGGGGCGGCUAGCUGCCGGUCGCUACGAAAUUUUGUGAACCUUAUCGCUUAGAGGAAGGAAAAGUCGUAACA
rnacentral:rRNA from 1 species